rnacentral:rRNA from 1 species
GAUGAACGCUGGCGGCGUGCUUAACACAUGCAAGUCGAACGAAGCACUUUAUUUGAUUUCCUUCGGGACUGAUUAUUUUGUGACUGAGUGGCGGACGGGUGAGUAACGCGUGGGUAACCUGCCUUGUACAGGGGGAUAACAGUUGGAAACGGCUGCUAAUACCGCAUAAGCGCACAGCAUCGCAUGAUGCAGUGUGAAAAACUCCUGUGGUAUAAGAUGGACCCGCGUUGGAUUAGCUAGUUGGUGAGGUAACGGCCCACCAAGGCGACGAUCCAUAGCCGACCUGAUAGGGUGACCGGCCACAUUGGGACUGAGACACGGCCCAAACUCCUACGGGAGGCAGCAGUGGGGAAUAUUGCACAAUGGGCGAAAGCCUGAUGCAGCGACGCCGCGUGAGCGAAGAAGUAUUUCGGUAUGUAAAGCUCUAUCAGCAGGGAAGAUAAUGACGUUACCUGACUAAGAAGCACCGGCUAAAUACGUG